UCCUCCAUAGCUCAGUGGUUAGAGCGUCCAACUGGCACCUGGAAGGUCAUGGGUUCGAUUCCCGUUGGGGAGCUCAGAA
rnacentral:tRNA from 1 species